CCUGCGGAGGAUCAUUAUUGAAACUCAAAGGGGCUGCGGUGGUGGUCCUGCGCACCGGUGGCAACGCCGUUGUUGCGCGCCCCCCGCGCCUCAUCCACACUCAAACCCUUGUGCACCUUUGGGGGAAGGCGGGUUCGCGCCCGUCGGCCCCUUCAUUCACAGACUCUGUCUAUUAGAAUGUAACACGCGGCGAAAGCCGUUUGGAACUAUAAAACAACUUUCAACAACGGAUCUCUUGGCUCUCGCAUCGAUGAAAAACGCAGCGAAAUGCGAUAAGUAAUGUGAAUUGCAGAAUUCAGUGAAUCAUCGAAUCUUUGAACGCACCUUGCGCCCCUUGGUAUUCCGAGGGGCAUGCCUGUUUGAGUGUCUUGAAAUCAUCAAGCCGUCGGGUUCGUUCCCGCGUCUUGGACUUGGGGGCUCUUGCUGCCGUGAGGCGGCUCCCCUUAAAUCCAUCGGUCGGCUCCUGCUUGAGCGCGUCCUGGCGUUGUACACACCUCGCUGGAUAAGCUGCCCUUGUGGACCGGCC
rnacentral:rRNA from 1 species